rnacentral:rRNA from 1 species
AUUGAACGCUGGCGGCAGGCCUAACACAUGCAAGUCGAGCGGGGUUUUCGGACCUAGCGGCGGACGGGUGAGUAAUGCGUAGGAAGCUACCCGAUAGAGGGGGAUACCAGUUGGAAACGACUGUUAAUACCGCAUAAUGUCUACGGACCAAAGUGUGGGACCUUCGGGCCACAUGCUAUCGGAUGCGCCUACGUGGGAUUAGCUAGUUGGUGGGGUAAUGGCUCACCAAGGCGACGAUCCCUAGCUGGUUUGAGAGGAUGAUCAGCCACACUGGAAACGAGACACGGUCCAGACUCCUACGGGAGGCAGCAGUGGGGAAUAUUGGACAAUGGGCGCAAGCCUGAUCCAGCCAUGCCGCGUGUGUGAAGAAGGCCUUCGGGUUGUAAAGCACUUUCAGUAGGGAGGAAGGGUGUUGUGUUAAUAGCACAGCAUUUUGACGUUACCUACAGAAGAAGCACCGGCUAACUCUGUGCCAGCAGCCGCCGCCG